GUCAAGUCCUCAUGGCCCUUAUAGUGGGGCUACACACGUCAUACAAUGGCCGGUACAGAGGGUAGCCAACCCGCGAGGGGGAGGCCAAUCCCACAAAGCCGGUCCGUAGUCCGGAUCGCAGUCUGCAACUCGACUGCGUGAAGUCGGAAUCGCUAGUAAUCGCGGAUCAGCAUGUCGCGGUGAAUACGUUCCCGGGUCUU
rnacentral:rRNA from 1 species